UACAGAGGGUGCAAGCGUUGUUCGGAAUUAUUGGGCGUAAAGGGAGUGUAGGCGGUUUCCUAAGUCUUCUGUGAAAUCUACGGGCUUAGCCUGUAACGUGCAGAGGAAACUGGGAGACUUGAGUGUCGGAGAGGGUAGCGGAAUUCCCGGUGUAGAGGUGAAAUUCGCAGAUAUCGGGAGGAACACCAGUAGCGAAGGCGGCACUCUGGGCCGGUACUGACGCUGAGGAGCGAAAGCGUGGGGAGCGAACAGG
rnacentral:rRNA from 1 species